rnacentral:lncRNA from 1 species
CUAGAUUAGUUUAACAUUUGAAAUGUCCGUAAAGUAUCAUCAUAUGAUUGGUUUUAGGGCACAUUUCCAACAAAUUUGCCAUCUCAAAUGUUGUAGAUGUAGUUCAUAUGAGCAUGAAUUUUUGAGCUAAAAUUUGGUGCCAUGUUUUUGGGGAAAUUCGGCCAAAUCCAAAGGGUGGAUUUUGGGUUCUUGUUUGUCUUGUUAAAAGUGUUUUAAGGUGACUUUUGAAACCCCUAAGUACCCUAGGAUGUUAACCCCAUUUUCAAUAGUGAAAAUUUGAGUUUUAUUGAGUGAAAAUGUUCAUGGAACUCUUAUGGGUUUUCAUGGAUGUUCUUCAUUGUUCUUGAGGUUCUUACCAAGAACAAAAAGUUUGGUGUUUUGAUUCAAAGUUUUAGUUAAUUUCAUAAAGUCUUUGUUUUGUGUUGGUUGGUGUGACUUUUCUAUCAACAUGACAUUUAAUUAAUUAAAAGGUGAUUUAAAUGUUGAUAAGAGUGUUUGAAUUUAUGUACAUAAUUGAAUUUUUUCUUACACACAUGUUUCCCACCAACCAAUUUCCACUUUGUUGAACAAUUUUCAAAAUUUUAUGGCUUCACACUACUCCAAAACCGGCCACUCCCUCAAUGGGAGUACUUUUGGGGCUUUUAUGCAAUUACAUAAAGUUUUGAUACUUUUGUGUAUUUGUAGUUUGACUCAAAAGUUUACGUAUUUACGUAAAGGCCCAAAAUCAUUAAAGGACAUAUUGUUUUGUUCCUUUAAUGAAGUUUUUGAAUUUGUUGAAAUUUUUGGGUUCUAGUUGUAAUUACAUGAAGUAAUGGACUUUUGUGUUUUUACAAAAUGAGCUUAAAAGUUUAAGUUUUGCAACAUAGCCCAAAAAGUUGAGGUUAUUGCACUUUGGCCCAAAUUAGGUUGAGAACAAAAUGGUUUUGUCUCUUUAAAUGAGAAUUGGAUUUUCAUUUCAUUUAGCUCCAUUUAAAUCAAUUCUAUGGAUACAAAAACCAAAUGACUAUGUUGCAUUCAAAGUUUAAUUAGUUAAAGCGUUAAUUAAUUAAGGGGUGAUUAUGAACCUAAGCCUACGAUAAUUGAGCUAUGUGAAAGGUCAUCUCAAAUUUGUUUGAACCAUGGGAAUGUGUAGAUUAGAUUUUGGUUGUAAUUUGAUAUGAUCAAAUGUUGUAAAAGAGCAUAAGCUCUUCUUUACUUUAAAGUAAUUUGUUUUGAUCAAAUGUUGUAAAAGAGCAUAAGCUCUUCUUUACUUUGAAGUACUCAUUUUCUUGUGUUAUUUGAUAUGCAUGAAAUUGGAGUAGUUGGGUCUAACGCCCAAUAGGAAAAACACGCCUUAAUAUGAUUAAAUGCGUAACUAAAAUCAAUCACCAUCCCUAGACUGAGAUUCAACACUAGGCUCGUGUUGGAUCUAAUCAAAGGUUCAUAGUCAUCCUAAGGCCCUAAGGCAACUAUAUAGUCCAUCAAUGAAUGCAAACCUUAUGUUAGUAGUACCAUAUACUCUUGCUUUAAAAACCGUUUUACAAGCAUAGUGGGAGUAUCAUGUACAACUAAAUCAAUCACAUGGACCAAUAGUUGUAAUAGGACCAAAUUGUUUUAAUAAGAUUAAAAUGCAUGCUUAUAUGUGAUGAGACCUAAAACCCUCAACCAAACCAUUAUUAAGUUGAUAAGCGUGAGAGUGCUUUGAACACUCUUUCGUGGCCUUACACUGUGGUAGGCUCCGAUCGUUUGUGACUCGUACACCGACUUCACCCUAUCAUGGGGGAGUACAAAGUGAAGGAAAAAUUUUGUCCUAGCUAAGAACAAGUAUGAACAUUUGAAUACACAUGCAAGCUAUCAACACUUU